rnacentral:rRNA from 1 species
AGCGGCGGACGGGCGAGUAACACGUGGGUAACCUGCCCAAGAGACUGGGAUAACACCUGGAAACAGAUGCUAAUACCGGAUGACAACACUAGACGCAUGUCUAGAGUUUGAAAGAUGGUUCUGCUAUCACUCUUGGAUGGACCUGCGGUGCAUUAGCUAGUUGGUAAGGUAACGGCUUACCAAGGCAAUGAUGCAUAGCCGAGUUGAGAGACUGAUCGGCCACAUUGGGGCUGAGACACGGCCCAAACUCCUACGGGAGGCAGCAGUAGGGAAUCUUCCACAAUGGACGAAAGUCUGAUGGAGCAACGCCGCGUGAGUGAAGAAGGGUUUCGGCUCGUAAAGCUCUGUUGGUAGUGAAGAAAGAUAGAGGUAGUAACUGGCCUUUAUUUGACGGUAAUUACUCAGAAAGUCACGGCUAACUACGUGCCAGCAGCCGCGGUAAUACGUAGGUGGCAAGCGUUGUCCGGAUUUAUUGGGCGUAAAGCGAGUGCAGGCGGUUCAAUAAGUCUGAUGUGAAAGCCUUCGGCUCAACCGGAGAAUUGCAUCAGAAACUGUUGAACUUGAGUGCAGAAGAGGAGAGUGGAACUCCAUGUGUAGCGGUGGAAUGCGUAGAUAUAUGGAAGAACACCAGUGGCGAAGGCGGCUCUCUGGUCUGCAACUGACGCUGAGGCUCGAAAGCAUGGGUAGCGAACAGGAUUAGAUACCCUGGUAGUCCAUGCCGUAAACGAUGAGUGCUAAGUGU